UACGUAGGGGGCGAGCGUUGUCCGGAAUCAUUGGGCGUAAAGAGCUAGUAGGUGGCCAACUAAGUCAGACGUGAAAUCCCCAGGCUCAACUUGGGAACUGCGUCUGAUACUGGAUGGCUUGAAUCCGGGAGAGGGAUGCAGAAUUCCAGGUGUAGCGGUGAAAUGCGUAGAUAUCUGGAGGAAUACCGGUGGCGAAGGCAGGUCUCUGGGCAUUAACUGACGCUGAGGAGCGAAAGCAUGGGGAGCGAACAGG
rnacentral:rRNA from 1 species